rnacentral:rRNA from 1 species
UGGGGAAUUUUGGACAAUGGGCGCAAGCCUGAUCCAGCAAUGCCGCGUGCAGGAUGAAGGCCUUCGGGUUGUAAACUGCUUUUGUACGGAACGAAAAGCUUCUGGUUAAUACCUGGGAGUCAUGACGGUACCGUAAGAAUAAGCACCGGCUAACUACGUGCCAGCAGCCGCGGUAAUACGUAGGGUGCGAGCGUUAAUCGGAAUUACUGGGUGUAAAGCGUGCGCAGGCGGUUAUGUAAGACAGAGGUGAAAUCCCCGGGCUCAACCUGGGAACUGCCUUUGUGACUGCAUGGCUAGAGUGCGGCAGAGGGGGAUGGAAUUCCGCGUGUAGCAGUGAAAUGCGUAGAUAUGCGGAGGAACACCGGUGGCGAAGGCAAUCCCCUGGGCCUGCACUGACGCUCGUGCACGAAAGCGUGGGGAGCAAACA